CCCAUGGUGGGCGACAGUCCAGUGUUGCUUCUCUUCCCUAGAGGCCUCAAAGUCAGCCAAGGAUAGCCUCGGACCAGCAGAGCGCCUCCUCCAUGUCCCUGACAGGUGACCGUCUGCCUCCUCUUGGAUGCCUCCACUGACAACCAGCUCACUCCCUCACAAGGUCUGAGGAGAACUUCCCCGGAGCGUUUCUAGACACAGACGGCAUCCUCCUUCUCCCCAGAAGCACAGGCGGGGGUGCAGCAUUACCUGGCUGAGCUCCACUGGUCUAGAUGCAGCCUCUGGAAGUCUCAGAUCCUGAUUCUCAGAGUCUUUGAAGAUGUAAUCAGUGAACAUGAGAUCCUACCAGGGUAGCAUGGUCCCCCAUCCUGUCAGACCGGUGUCCUUCUGAAAGAAGAAGAACACAGAGACACAGAGAUGCCCAGAGUGAAGAUGCCCAGCCCUAGGAAAGUCAGACUGUUGAGAAGGAGGAAGAACAGAAAAGCCGGGCGGAGGGACUGACCCAGCGGCUGAGCCGGUGGCCCCACGGAGGGCAAGGACCGCCCAUGACAGAAGGUGGGCAGAGGCGUCUGGCCUCCAGGAGUGGCUCUCUAUGUUUCGUGACCAUUUAAAUCCACUCUCUUUGAGCACAAAACAGAGCCGCAGAGCCGCUAGUGAUACAAUGAAACCACCAGGAAGCCACCCCGACAGACAACUCCAAAGCCAGUCCUGGGCGGUGCGAGUACACCCUCCACCCCACCCCACCAACUGGCUUUUUGCCUUGCCACUGUGAAGAACAAUGGGCCCAGAAUGGGCUGAGACGUGGUGGCUGGGGGAAGGGGUCCCCACGUCCCCAGAGGGCUACUCAGUCACCAUGUCAGUUCUGCUGCGUCGUCUCAGGGGCCAGAAGGAGUGAGACCCCCUUCCCCAAAGCCGCCUCAGUACCCAGGCAGAGUGCAAGCCGGCCAGGCAUUUCCAUCGGCCCUAACCAGGGUUCACUUCAUGGCCUCCCCACUGCCCGCAAGAGACCACGUCACCGGAAAGGGCCGAGAGGACAGUGCAGAGUGUACCUGCGAAUCUGCUCCCAGAGCUCCCUGACCUCCAGCCCUGUUUUCUGGGGGUUUCUGUGUUUCUGCGAACUGUGAGGGUUAAGCAGAGUCACCUGGGAACAGAAACUUCUGGCACAGAGACUUCCCUUGGCAGGGGACGGCUCGUCUUUCCCCCACCUCCCAUGCCUAGGGGAGAGUGAAACCCUCUCCACUGUGGCGACAGAGGACCCCACGGGUCUAGGACCACAGGCACAUUACCUAGGGGAGAACACUGGUUUUGACAGUGUUUGGAACAAAAAGCAAACCUGACGGGGUCGUCUUGUUAACAAAGCUCAGUUGUAAUGUUGACUAGAAAAGACUUCCGGCGGAUUGAACACUGAACUGUGGCCAGCUGUGUGGUCGCCUCUCGGAAGUGCCCACAUUGGAGGGAAAGAGAGAACAGCGAUUGUGAGGUGGGCACAGGACCAGGCAGUGUUUGGUUCUGCGGGGCGCAGGGUCACAGGGAGUCGGAACUGACUCCGUGGUUCCUAACAGCAGCAGCAGCAAGACGAUCCACGUGCACAGAGAACUGACCAGAGACCAGAGACCGCAGACCAGGACGUGGGGGUGGGGGCCGUGGACAUGCUCGUGGUCUUGGCAGCUGGCCUUGGCUCACGGUCACACGGCAACAGAGCUGUUGUCUGGGCGACUGAGAUGAUCUCCAUGCCGUUGCUCACACUUGCUCCUGGGCCUGCGGGUCUUGGGCCCCGCCCGCUGUUGCUGCGGGCAGUGUGCUUGGCCAGAAAGAGCCCCCUGACUGCUUGUGGGGAACCCUGAUUUGUUGCCCUCUCACUUCUCCCUUUGGGGAGGCGACUUCCUCCAAACGUUGAGUGUGGCACCUCCAGCCUCCUUCUGCGUGAUGUGAGCCAGUUCCCUUGAACUCACGGGAAGCAGCAGGCUGGGCAGAGCACAGGACCUCGGCUACCACAGGGGUCAUGUCGGCCACAGUGCCGGCCUGGGCCCCUGCGUCCUCCAGGGCAGAGUCUGCAGACAGGGGUGCAGUCAGGGGGCGGCUCCCGGACCCCUGGGUCAGAACACCCCAACGUGGACUCGCUUCCUCCAAGAGCUGCCCUGAGGGUGCUGGGUGCUGGGACAGAGGCUCGGCCGCUCCACA